rnacentral:rRNA from 1 species
UCGCAGUCUGCAACUCGACUGCGUGAAGUCGGAAUCGCUAGUAAUCGCGGAUCAGCAUGCCGCGGUGAAUACGUUCCCGGGCCUUGUACACACCGCCCGUCACACCAUGAGAGUCGGGAACACCCGAAGCCCGUAGCCUAACAGCAAUGAGGGCGCGGUCGAAGGUGGGUUCGAUAAUUGGGGUGAAGUCGUAACAAGGUAAC